AUACGGAGGGUGCAAGCGUUACUCGGAAUUACUGGGCGUAAAGGACGCGUAGGCGGUUUAGAAAGUCAGAUGUGAAAGCCUAUGGCUUAACCAUAGAACUGCAUCUGAAACCCCUAGACUAGAGUGAGGGAGAGGUCAGUGGAAUUAGUGGUGUAGGGGUAAAAUCCGUAGAGAUCACUAGGAAUACUCAUAGCGAAGGCGACUGACUGGAACUUUACUGACGCUGAGGCGUGAAAGCGUGGGGAGCAAACAGGAUUAGAAACCCGAGUAGUCC
rnacentral:rRNA from 1 species